rnacentral:rRNA from 1 species
GACGAACGCUGGCGGCGUGCUUAACACAUGCAAGUCGUACGGUAAGGCCCUUUCUGGGGUACACGAGUGGCGAACGGGUGAGUAACACGUGAGUAACCUGCCCACAACUUUGGGAUAACGCUAGGAAACUGGUGCUAAUACUGGAUAUGUUCUCCUGCUGCAUGGUUGGGGUUGGAAAGCUCCUGCGGUUGUGGAUGUACUCGCGGCCUAUCAGCUUGUUGGUGGGGUAGUGUCCUACCAAGGCGGCGACGGGUAGCCGGCCUGAGAGGGUGACCGGCCAAAUUGGGACUGAGAUACGGCACAGACUCCGACGGGAGGCAGAAGUGGGGAAAAUUGCACAAUGGGCGCAAGCCUGAUGCAGAAAAGCCGCGUGCGGGAUGACGGCCUUCGGGUUGUAAACCGCUUUCAGCAGGGACGAAGCUUUUUGUGACGGUACCUGCAGAAGAAGCACCGGCUAACUACGUG